GAACGCUGGCGGCAUGCCUUACACAUGCAAGUCGAACGGCAGCACGGGAGCAAUCCUGGUGGCGAGUGGCGAACGGGUGAGUAAUAUAUCGGAACGUGCCCAGUCGUGGGGGAUAACGCAGCGAAAGCUGUGCUAAUACCGCAUACGAUCUACGGAUGAAAGCGGGGGAUCGCAAGACCUCGCGCGAUUGGAGCGGCCGAUAUCAGAUUAGCUAGUUGGUGGGGUAAAAGCCCACCAAGGCGACGAUCUGUAGCUGGUCUGAGAGGACGACCAGCCACACUGGAACUGAGACACGGUCCAGACUCCUACGGGAGGCAGCAGUGGGGAAUUUUGGACAAUGGGGGGAACCCUGAUCCAGCCAUGCCGCGUGAGUGAUGAAGGCCUUCGGGUCGUAAAGCUCUGUUCUUGAGGACGAAUAAGCCAGGGAGUGGAAAGCCCUGGUGAUGACUGUACUCAAGGAGAAAGCACCGGCUAACUACGUG
rnacentral:rRNA from 1 species